rnacentral:rRNA from 1 species
GAGGCUAUGAAACUGUGGCGCUAGCUGCAGCGGAGCCAUCCUUGAAAUACCACCCUGUCGUGCUUGACGUUCUAACCUGGGCCCAUUAUCUGGGUCGGGGACCGUGUAUGGUGGGUAGUUUGACUGGGGCGGUCUCCUCCUAAAGAGUAACGGAGGAGCUCGAAGGUACGCUCAGCGCGGUCGGACAUCGCGCACUGUGUGCAAAGGCAUAAGCGUGCUUGACUGCAAGAUCGACGGAUCAAGCAGGUAGGAAACUAGGACUUAGUGAUCCGGUGGUUCUGUAUGGAAGGGCCAUCGCUCAACGGA